GGUGCCAUAGCUCAGUUGGUAGAGCAAAGGACUGAAAAUCCUUGUGUCCCCCGGUUCGAUUCCUGGUGGCACCACCA
rnacentral:tRNA from 1 species